GACAGAGGGUGCAAACGUUGUUCGGAAUUACUGGGCGUAAAGCGCGCGUAGGCAGCAGCUUGUGUCGGGCGUGAAAUCCCACGGCUCAACCGUGGAAGUGCACUCGAAACUGCGCAGCUAGAGUCUCGGAGAGGAAGGCGGAAUGCUUGGUGUAGAGGUGAAAUUCGUAGAUAUCAAGCGGAACACCGGUGGCGUAGGCGGCCUUCUGGACGAUGACUGACGCUGAAGCGCGAAAGCGUGGGGAGCAAACAGG
rnacentral:rRNA from 1 species